UGGGGAAUAUUGGACAAUGGGCGCAAGCCUGAUCCAGCCAUUCCGCGUGAGUGAUGAAGGCCCUAGGGUUGUAAAGCUCUUUCACCGGUGAAGAUAAUGACGGUAACCGGAGAAGAAGCCCCGGCUAACUUCGUGCCAGCAGCCGCGGUAAUACGAAGGGGGCUAGCGUUGUUCGGAUUUACUGGGCGUAAAGCGCACGUAGGCGGACUAUUAAGUCAGGGGUGAAAUCCCGGGGCUCAACCCCGGAACUGCCUUUGAUACUGGUAGUCUUGAGUUCGAGAGAGGUGAGUGGAAUUCCGAGUGGAGAGGUGAAAUACGUAGAUAUUAGGAGGAACACCAGUGGCGAAGGCGGCUCACUGGCUCGAUACUGACGCUGAGGUGCGAAAGCGGGGGGAGCAAACAGG
rnacentral:rRNA from 1 species